rnacentral:tRNA from 1 species
UAGUCUAGUGAUUAAGGCUAUGGAUUACCAAUCCGGAGAAGGCGGGUUCGAAUCCCGU